UGGCCAGAUCAUGGUGAAACACCAGUUCCUGUACGAUCACCAAAGUUAAGCAAUGUUGAGCCUGUUCAGUACCUAGAUGGAUGACUGCUUGGGAAUACCAGGUGCUGUAA